rnacentral:rRNA from 1 species
UACGGGGGGGGACUAACGUUAUUCAUCAUAACUGGGCGUAAAGGGUACGUAGGUGGCUUUGUAAGUCUUGAUUAAAGAAUCUAAGCAUAACUUAGAAAAUUAGUCUUGAUACUAUUGAGCUCGAGGUCGAAAGAGGUUAGUUAUAUUCUUGAAGUAAAAAGUAAAAAUCUUUAGAUAUCGAGAGGAUAACCGAGUGGGUAAUGCGACUUUUCUGGUUCGACGCUGACGCUGAGGUACGAAGGCAUGGGUAUCAAACGGGG